rnacentral:rRNA from 1 species
UACGUAGGGCGCAAGCGUUGUCCGGAAUUAUUGAGCGUAAAGAGCUCGUAGGCGGCUUGUCACGUCGAUUGUGAAAGCCCGAGGCUUAACCUCGGGUCUGCAGUCGAUACGGGCUAGCUAGAGUGUGGUAGGGGAGAUCGGAAUUCCUGGUGUAGCGGUGAAAUGCGCAGAUAUCAGGAGGAACACCGGUGGCGAAGGCGGAUCUCUGGGCCAUUACUGACGCUGAGGAGCGAAAGCGUGGGGAGCGAACAGG